rnacentral:tRNA from 1 species
GCGCCCGUGGCGGAAUUGGCAGACGCGCUGGAUUUAGGUUCCAGUGGAUCAUCCGUGCAGGUUCAAGUCCUGUCGGGCGCACCA